UAGUUCAACUGAAAGUGUUAUUUAGGAAUUAGUAGGUUAUGUUUCUUUUCUUUGCUGAACUGUACAAAUGCAAGGCUUAAUUUGAAAUUAUGGAUGUUUGAUGCAGGGCUGACAUUUACGAAUUUUGAAGGAUGAAGCUUCGAGGUUUAUGGUAAGGAGCUGAAAGUCAAGACAAACGCAACACGGUUGUGGAUCACCCUCAAAGUAGCAGCCUGUUAUAAAGUUUCUGUCGGGACUUGUUCGAUACCCGAGGGACUGAUUUUUUGUGGCAGCAACGAAUAGAGUUUGUAUGGUGUUGAUUGGAGCUGAUCUGGUACUGAUGCAUAGUUUGGAGCAUUUUGCAGCAGGGGUCCUAUGAGCUUGUGCUGCUGGAGUGUAUGGCC